AUUGAACGCUGGCGGCAUGCCUUACACAUGCAAGUCGAACGGUAACAGGUUAAGCUGACGAGUGGCGAACGGGUGAGUAAUGUAUCGGAACGUGCCCAGUCGUGGGGGAUAACUGCUCGAAAGAGCAGCUAAUACCGCAUACGACCUGAGGGUGAAAGCGGGGGAUCGCAAGACCUCGCGCGAUUGGAGCGGCCGAUAUCAGAUUAGGUAGUUGGUGAGGUAAAGGCUCACCAAGCCGACGAUCUGUAGCUGGUCUGAGAGGACGACCAGCCACACUGGGACUGAGACACGGCCCAGACUCCUACGGGAGGCAGCAGUGGGGAAUUUUGGACAAUGGGCGCAAGCCUGAUCCAGCCAUGCCGCGUGCGGGAAGAAGGCCUUCGGGUUGUAAACCGCUUCUGUCAGGGAAGAAAAGGUUCUGGCUAAUACCUGGGACUCAUGACGGUACCUGAAGAAUAAGCACCGGCUAACUACGUG
rnacentral:rRNA from 1 species